AAGCUUUUGCUUCAGUAAAAGUUAGUAGCUUCUCCGAGGAAACUGGUUCAGCAGAAUUUUCAUUCCCCGAGUUUGCUGGAGCUCUUCGUGUUUGAAUGAGUGGGCCAGUAGGUGUCCAUCCUUUCUUGACUCUACAGAGGCUGCAGUUGCAGAUUCCCCGACAAACUGGACAAAUCCAAUUGGGAUUUUUGUUGGCUUCCAGAACAUUCUCGCCAUAUCUACAAAAGUAAGAUUAUUGUUGGUAAUAAUCUAGGGAAAAAUUGGUGAUAAUAUAAAAUGAUUUGUAGUUUAUUACACUUCAUUGCAAUCUAUAUAGACUGCAAAUAAAAUCUUGAAGUGAA